GUUUGAUUCAUCCGGUUGAGCACUGGCAGGAUGCUUUACACAUGCAAAGUCGAACAGCAGCACGGACUUCUGAUCUGGUGGCGAGUGAAGUGGGUGAUAAUGUAUCGGAACGUGCCUAAUACAGCAGGGAUAACUACGCGAGGCAGCUAAUACCAUAUACGCCCUUCGGAGGAAAACGGAGGACCUUCGGGCCUCACUGUGAAACGACCGAUAUCGGAUUAUGGCUAGUUGGUGGGGUAACGGCUCGCAAGGCGACGAUCCGUAGCUGGUUUGAGGAGGACGACCAGCCACCUGGGACUGAGACACGGCCCAGACUCCUACGGGGAGGAAUACAACAGUGGAAUUUUGGACAAUGGGGAAACCUGAUCAGCCAUCCCGCGUGUGCGAUGAAGGCCUUCGGGUUAUCAACGCUUUUGGCGGGAAAGAAACGGCACAGGAUAAUGCCCCGUGCAACUGACGUACCUGCAGAAUAAGCACCGGCUAACUACGUGCCAGCAGCCGCGGUAAUACGUAAGGGUGCAAGCGUUAAUCAGAUUACUGGGCGUAAAGCAUUGCGCAGGCGGUUCGAAAGAAGAUGGCAAAUCUGAACGCUUUGGAACUGCAUUUUUAACUACCGAGCUAGAGUGUGUCAGAGGGAGGUGGAAUUCCGCGUGUAGCAGUGAAAUGUGCAGAUGUGCGGAGGAACACCGAUGGCGAAAACGACGCCUCUGGGAUAACACUGACAUAUGCACGGCAAGUGAGGAGCAAACGGGAUGAAUGCCCUGUUUGAUCCACGCCCUAAACGAUGUCUAUUAGCUGUUGAGGCCUUCGGGCCUUGGUAGCGCAGCUAACGCGUGAAGUUGACCGCCUGGGAAUUACGGUCGCAAGAUUAAAACUCAAAGGAAUUGACGGGGACCCGCACAAGCGGUGGAUGAUGUGGAUUAAUUCGAUGCAACGCGAAAAACCUUACCUACCCUUGACAUGUCUGGGCCCGAAAGAGAUUUGGGAGUGCUCGCAAAGAGAACCGGAACACAGGUGCUGCAUGGCUGUCGUCAGCUCGUGUCGUGAGAUGUUGGGUUAAGUCCGCAACGAGCGCAACCCUUGUCAUUAGUUGCUACGAAAGGGCACUCAGCUGAGACUGCCGGUGACAAACCGGAGGAAGGUGGGGAUGACGUCAGUCCUCAUGGCCCUUAUGGGUAGGGCUUCACACGUCAUACAAUGGUCGGGACAGAGGGUCGCCAACCCGCGAGGGGAGCCAAUCCCAGAAACCCGAUCGUAGUCGGAUCUGAUCUGCAACUCGACUGCGUGAAGUCGGAAUCGCUAGUAAUCGCGGAUCAGCAUGUCGCGGUGAAUACGUUCCCGGGUCUUGUACACACCGCCCGUCACACCAUGGGAGUGGGUUUUACCAGAAGUAGUUAGCCUAACCGUAAGGAGGGCGAUUACCACGGUAGGAUUCAUGACUGGGGUGAAGUCGUAACAAGGUAG
rnacentral:rRNA from 1 species